rnacentral:lncRNA from 1 species
UUUGUUAUUCAAAUAGCCAGAUAAAGCAAGGUGUAGUUAGUUCUGACUUCCUGUUCUUGUGCACACACCUGAGGCCUCUCCCCGCUCCAGCCACAGCUCACACACCCAGGAUCUUGAGGUGACACAGUGGAAACAACUUUCUUGGAACAUGGCUUACCUUUCUACAAAUUCAGAAAGUUGCCUGUAUCUACAAGUGAAAUACUACUUUACAAGCACUGUUAUGAAAGUAAAUAUUUGCAAAGCAUCGAGCAU